UAGGGAAUAUUGGACAAUGGGGGAAACCCUGAUCCAGCCAUGCCGCGUGAGUGAUGAAGGCCUUCGGGUUGUAAAGCUCUUUUGGGUGGGACGAUAAUGACGGUACCACCAGAAUAAGAUCCGGCUAACUUCGUGCCAGCAGCCGCGGUAAUACGAAGGGAUCUAGCGUUGUUCGGAUUUACUGGGCGUAAAGGGCGCGUAGGCGGUUAGAUAAGUAGGGUGUGAAAGCCCUGGGCUUAACCCAGGAACUGCACUUUAAACUGUCUAGCUUGAGUAUGGGAGAGGUAAGUAGAAUUCCCAGUGUAGAGGUGAAAUUCGUAGAUAUUGGGAAGAAUACCAGUGGCGAAGGCGGCUUACUGGACCAUAACUGACGCUGAGGCGCGAAAGCGUGGGGAGCAAACAGG
rnacentral:rRNA from 1 species